AGGACGAACGCUGGCGGUGUGCUUCACACAUGCAAGUCGAACGGGGUAGCAAUACCCAGUGGCGGACGGGUGAGUAACACGUAGGAAUCUGCCUUGGAGUGGGGGAUAACUGACCGAAAGGUUAGCUAAUACCGCAUACGUCGCAAGAUAAAAGGAGCAAUUCGCUCCAAGAUGAGCCUGCGUCCGAUUAGCUAGUUGGUAGGUAAAGGCCUACCAAGGCUACGAUCGGUAGCUGUCUGAGAGGAUGAUCAGCCACAAUGGAACUGAGACACGGUCCAUACUCCUACGGGAGGCAGCAGUGGGAAUUUACGCAAUGGGCGAAAGCCUGACGUAGCGACACCGCGUGAACGAGAAGCCUUUGGGUGUAAAGUUCUGUCAGCAGGACGAAAAAUGACGACUGCAGAGAAGCAUCGCUAACUACGUGACCAGCGAGCCGC
rnacentral:rRNA from 1 species